AUUGAACGCUGGCGGAAUGCUUUACACAUGCAAGUCGAACGGCAGCACGGACUUCGGUCUGGUGGCGAGUGGCGAACGGGUGAGUAAUGUAUCGGAACGUGCCCAGUCGUGGGGGAUAACGUAGUGAAAAUUACGCUAAUACCGCAUACGAUCUAUGGAUGAAAGCGGGGGAUAGCAAGACCUCGCGCGAUUGGAGCGGCCGAUAUCAGAUUAGGUAGUUGGUGGGGUAAAGGACCACCAAGCCAACGAUCUGUAGCUGGUCUGAGAGGACGACCGGCCAGACUGGAACUGGUACACCGUCCUGACUCCGACGGGAGGCGGAAUUGGGGAAUUUUGGACAAUGGGCGAAAGCCUGAUCCAGCCAUUCCGCGUGCAGGAUGAAGGCCCUCGGGUUGUAAACUGCUUUUGUACAGAACGAAAAGGUUUCUACUAAUACUAGGAGCUCAUGACGGUACUGUAAGAAUAAGCACCGGCUAACUACGUGCCAGCCGCCGCCGUAA
rnacentral:rRNA from 1 species